rnacentral:rRNA from 1 species
UACGUAGGGGGCAAGCGUUGUCCGGAAUCAUUGGGCGUAAAGCGCGUGUAGGCGGCCCGGUAAGUCCGCUGUGAAAGUCCAGGGCUCAACCCUGGGAUGCCGGUGGAAACUGGCGGGCUGGAGUGCGGCAGAGGGGGGUGGAAUUCCACGUGUAGCAGUGAAAUGCGUAGAGAUGUGGAGGAACACCGAUGGCGAAGGCAGCCCCCUGGGCCGACACUGACGCUCAGGCACGAAAGCGUGGGGAGCAAACAGG